rnacentral:hammerhead_ribozyme from 1 species
AUUGUCCCAAAUAGGACGAAACGCGCGUCCUGGAU